AUGAACGCUGGCGGCGUGCCUAACACAUGCAAGUCGAACGAUGAAACCGCCCCCGGGCGGACAUGAAGUGGCGAACGGGUGAGUAACACGUGACCGACCUGCCCCCCGCCCAGGGACAGCCCCCCGAAAGGGGGAUUAAUACCUGGUACUCCGGGAGCGGCGCAUGCCGCCCCCGGGAAAGCUCUCGCGGCGGGGGAUGGGGUCGCGGCCCAUCAGGUAGACGGCGGGGCAACGGCCCACCGUGCCGACGACGGGUAGCCGGGUUGAGAGACCGACCGGCCACAUUGGGACUGAGAUACGGCCCAGACUCCUACGGGAGGCAGCAGUGGGGAAUUUUGCGCAAUGGGGGCAACCCUGACGCAGCAACGCCGCGUGCGGGACGAAGGCGUCCGCGUCGUAAACCGCUUUCAGCGGGGAACACCUAACGAGGGUACCCGCAGAAGAAGCCCCGGCUAAAUACGUGCCAGCAGCCGCGGUAAUACGUAUGGGGCGAGCGUUAUCCGGAUUCAUUGGGCGUAAAGCGCGCGUAGGCGGAGCGCUAAGCGGGACCUCUAACCCGAGGGCUCAACCCCCGGCCGGGUCCCGAACUGGCGCUCUCGAGUGCGGUAGGGGAGAGCGGAAUUCCCGGUGUAGCGGUGGAAUGCGCAGAUAUCGGGAAGAACACCGACGGCGAAGGCAGCUCUCUGGGCCGAAACUGACGCUGAGGCGCGAAAGCUGGGGGAGCGAACAGGAUUAGAUACCCUGGUAGUCCCAGCCGUAAACGAUGGGCGCUAGGUGUGGGGGAUGAGAUCCCCCGUGCCGCAGCCAACGCAUUAAGCGCCCCGCCUGGGGAGUACGGCCGCAAGGCUAAAACUCAAAGGAAUUGACGGGGGCCCGCACAAGCAGCGGAGCAUGUGGCUUAAUUCGAAGCAACGCGAAGAACCUUACCUGAUCUUGACAUCCCGAUGACCGCUUCGUAAUGGAAGCUUUUCUUCGGAACAUCGGUGACAGGUGGUGCAUGGUUGUCGUCAGCUCGUGUCGUGAGAUGUUGGGUUAAGUCCCGCAACGAGCGCAACCCCUGCCCCGUGUUGCCAGCAUUCAGUUGGGGACUCGCGGGGGACUGCCGGCGUCAAGCCGGAGGAAGGUGGGGACGACGUCAAGUCAUCAUGCCCCUUAUGCCCUGGGCCGCACACGUGCUACAAUGGCCGGUACAGAGGGUUGCGACCCCGCGAGGGGGAGCGGAUCCCGCAAAGCCGGCCCCAGUUCGGAUCGGAGGCUGCAACCCGCCUCCGUGAAGCCGGAGUUGCUAGUAAUCGCGGAUCAGCACGCCGCGGUGAAUACGUUCCCGGGCCUUGUACACACCGCCCGUCACACCACCCGAGUCGUCUGCACCCGAAGCCGCCGGCCGAACCCUUUCAGGGGCGGAGGCGUCGAAGGUGUGGAGGGUGAGGGGGGUG
rnacentral:rRNA from 1 species